UAUUGCAAUGGUCGUUGAUGCUGGUUACCAAUCCUGUUGCCAUACACGGCACUCACUAAAGGUCAAUUACAGCCCCGGAAGAAACAAUCAACAUUAGGGAUGUGAUGAAUAUUGGCACAUGGUAGGUUGAGUGCAUCAGUUUAGUAGACUUCAAAACAGUAUGUAGCAGAUGCAUCUCAGUGCCCAGAAUUUAUAUACACAC